UGCAACUCACAGAGGACCUUUACAUCAGUUCAGUUAAAACCCGAUGGGAAAUGUUAGGCACAGUGGGCCUACACAUCGGGCCAUUCAACAACUGAUGGAAAAUGUUACGACCAUUUUUUCCCUAAAACCCUAGACAUUCUUUACAAACACAAAUCUUUUCUUCUUCUUCUUCUUGCCGUAAGAAAAGCUCCAGUGGUCUCUCCAUCUCUCCAAGAACACAGCCAAUCACAACAAACACACCAAACACAAUCACAAACUCCAUCUCUCCACGAAAAGCUUCCACAACUUUGGACUAUUAUUCCAAACUAUUGUUAAUCCCCACAAAUGAGGGAUACGCUUACAACAUCUUCAAACCCAAAACAGCCUCCUGAGCUUCUAAAUUUGAUGAUGAAGCAUUUGAAAGAAGUAAUAUGUUUCAUGAAGUCCGAUGACCAACUUUCCUCUGCCAAUGAAGUCCGAUGCUUCAUGCUUCAGGGAGGAAGAAGUCCUAAGGAGGCAUCCAUGUUUUUGAAUUUCCUCGACAUAGUUUCGUCAUCUCGCAUCACAACUUUGAAUUGCUUGUCAGGAACUUCUCACACGGUCAACCUCACAUCGAAGCCAUGGUUGGUGAUGUGAAUAUUUUCAUGAAUGACAUCAAUAAUCCCCUAAUUGUUGAGAUUGAAAUUAUGAUUGCCGAACCAACCAGGUAACUACUAUUUUGAAAUUCAUCACAUAAUUGUGUUUGAAAUUGACCUAGAAAUUAACGCCAUUUCAAAUAAAACAAGUUGUACCAACCAGGUAACUACUAUUUUGAAGUUCAUCACAUAAUUGUGUUUGAAAUUGACCUAGAAAUUAACGCCAUUUCAAAUAUAACAAGUUGUGAGAUUGUUUGUUGUUUUGUUAGCAUAGCCGUGGUAAAGGACUAUGCUAUUGGAAAGGAGUCUGUUCUGAUGAUGAUGACCUUUGCUAUUGAGGAGUUAGGGAUCAACAUCUUUCAGGUUAAAAUUGGAGAAUCAAAUUAAGAAUCCAUCAACUUGUUCAAAAAAUUGGGGGUUUUUGGAAACUUCACAUAGCAACAUUUUCAAAGAGGUGGUUCCAGGCAAGACCUCGUAAAGGCAAGAUGGAGUAGUCGGUUGGUGACUCUUGGCUGGAUGUUAUUAUCUUUUGUUCUAUUUUCGUGUUUUCAUAGUACUUGUAUUUUGGAUUAUGUACUAGUACACGUUAUGUAUUAUUUUGGUCAUGAUACAUUCGGUUUUUGUACUAUGUACUGAUGAUGUAUUUUCUAUGAUGAUGUUAUGUACCAUUACUAGUAUUGCACGCAUAUUAUUCUAGACAUGUAUGUGCGGGGUGUAUGACUGUCACGACAAAAAGAAUUAAAUGAAGAAGGAAAUAAUUAUUUGGGAUUUUAUAAAAGGAAUUAGAUGUUUAAGAAUUUAAAAAAACAAAUGAACUGAGCUGUGAGACAACCACGUGACAGAUUGUAGAAAAGCAGGAGUAAAUUAGAUUUUGGUUGCAUUACAACUCACAAUUUAUGUUUUGGUCCAUGAAUGAGUUUUUUUUUUUCUUU